CUCCCCUCCCCACCCAGACCGCCUCCAUCAAUGUAAUCUGCUGCACUGGAACACAUCCGUAAUGCCCCGAACACGCGACAUUUGAGGAGGGUAAUAACGCGUUUCCUAGGUGAAUAGACGCCUUCAGUCAACAUCACAGUUUGAGCAAUGGGGUUUCAUAAAAGGUAAAUGUGUCCCCAUGGCAUCUAGAAAUUUUAUCGUCAUUGGAAGCCGCACAGGUCUCAGGUAAUGAUAACCAAGCACUGCACCGCUCACCUGGACUCCUCUGCAGCACCUCAGUCUCUUGCUUCACUCUCCUCUGGAACUCUGUGACAUCACCAAGUAUGUACCAGACUUCAACACCUCUGCUGGACAGUGAAGAAAGGUCACACACAAAUGGUCCCUGUAAUAAAUAGCUGUUGAUUAAAAGGAAGAUAGUAACAUAUAUAUUCACACAUACACAUGAUUGGUGUGACCUUUCAUUUUGUACACUACUGUGAGAAGUUGUAAGAACAUAAAACUUUAUAACCGCCUAGCAUCUCAACAUAUUAAGUCUGUAAUUUGGUAAUGUAUGUGUGUAGUAUGUGUAUUAGUUAUAUUAACCCUUUGACUGCUAAUGCCACAUAUAAUUUUAUUUUUAGCAAUCCCAUGCAGGCAAUUUUACUUACCAAAAAUAAAGAUUCAAUUACUGAACAA